GUGUACUAGAGGAUCCACCGGGUGGUAUCCCCGUCUGGUACGCGCUAGUAAUGGGGCCAAACGGCCACAAAAUGGUCAAAGGUAAGAGGUAAGGGGAUUCAUUAAUUACGCAUUUAUUACAGCACUUAACUUACCGAUCGGACUAUCACUGACUUUGGUAUCGGAACACCUUUAACAAGUA
rnacentral:sRNA from 1 species